AGUCUCACACUCUGACCCCCCUGUUCCACUGUCACAUCUCAUACAGAGAGACAAGAAACCUCUGCUAGCUGAACAGCUGUCUCUUUCUAAGGAUUGUCCAGUUCACCGCUUCCAGACAUCAGCAAUGCUUUUUUUUCCCCUGAAAUCAGCAUUGCCCACUUCAGCAUGGGUUCCAAGUCAGGCCUUGUAGGGAGGGGGGUAGGAUUAAAAGAAAUGGCCAAGUUGAAUACCUUCUUCUGCUUCUUCUGUCGACAAAGAUUCACAAAAUGCUUUUGUUCAGGCAGGGCUAUUUCUUCUCAGCCACAUAAUCCGAAGUGAUCCUAAUAAUGGGUCACGGUUCAGUACAGUCGCUGUGCAUGGCGGCAUCACCCAAACAAAUGUGUAGCUUAUCAGGACAGAGGCAUGGAAUUAUUAAAUACACUUUUGCAAAAGGCAAGGUCUGUUCAGUACUAUUCAUAACGCUACAUUGUAAUGAAUGCAAAAGAAAGGGGCACUAUUGAUGAGUGAGCAAGUAAUAGGCAAAUGACAGAGCUUUGUAUUUGGGUAAUCCCUAGGCAGCAAGAGGAGCUGGAGGAACGCAGCCAAGGUUAGCAUGUUGCUUGGAGGAACAAUAGCAUCAUGGGUUGCUUUUCAUAGGAUUGAUGCCAGUUUCUUGCUGCAGGUGCACUUGUGGUGUGGCCACAGGAGGGAAGCAAUAACCAACAUCCUUUCCUAUUCAAGUCACAAUCAAAAGAGUGCUUGUAAUUUAGAGGCUUGCUGGCGGAGCCCAGCCCAUAUGGAAGCUGCUGGGCACAGAGCAGAAAGUGAAUCACACUCAGAGGACACCCAUUUGGUCUAAUUGCCAGGCAACAAUUACACGCGCCUCCCAAGGAAAUUCUGCACAUAUAAGAAAUCUAAAUGGUGAUGAAUGCAGAAGAUGCAACGUUCGGCAACAUGAUCUCCACGGAUUGUGAUGCAUGGACCCCAGGCUUUAUGGAAGAACAUGGAUAAGUGGAAGACUAGAAUAUCCUCUUUUUUACUGCAUGAGGCAGCACACACAGCGCUAAGCCUCCCAGAACAAAGGGGUUCAAUAAGCAUAUGAGUCACCUCGGUGCAACAGAACCCAAACCUAGAGAAUAGCCGUGAGUAACCCAGCCAUCCCUGCACUGCACUUCCUCACAGCAACAUUAAGCAUGCCUGUCGUAUUGCAUCUGUCCAUUCCAGGGAUGUGUUUAUCAUGUGUAUCAUGCAAAUGAUCCAGUGCUUUAUACAAUAAGACAUCUACACACCUACAUGUGUGUCUUGUUUUGCACCUACUAUUUUGCAAAGUACAAUAUAAACAAAAAUUACCAAUAAAAGUAUCACUGCA